rnacentral:rRNA from 1 species
ACGGAAGGCAGCAGUGGGGAAUAUUGGGCAAUGGGCGGAAGCCUGACCCAGCAACGCCGCGUGAAGGAAGAAGGUCUUCGGAUUGUAAACUUCUUUUAUGAGGGACGAAGGACGUGACGGUCCCUCAUGAAUACGCCACGGCUAACUACGUGCCAGCAGCCGCGGCAAUACGUAGGUGGCUAGCGUUAUCCGGAUUUACUGGGUGUAAAGGGCGCGUAGGCGGGGAUGCAAGUCAGAUGUGAAAUCUAUGGGCUUAACCCAUAAACUGCAUUUGAAACUGUAUCUCUUGAGUGCUGGAGAGGUAGAUGGAAUUCCUUGUGUAGCGGUGAAAUGCGUAGAUAUAAGGAAGGACAGCAGUGGCGAAGGCGAUCUACUGGACAGUAACUGACGCUGAGGCACGAAAGCGUGGGGAGCAAACAGGAUUAGAUACCCUGGUA